rnacentral:ncRNA from 1 species
UACCUGGUUGAUCCUGCCAGUAGUCAUAUGCUUGUCUCAAAGAUUAAGCCAUGCAAGUCUAAGUACGAGCUCUCGUACAGUGAAACUGCGAAUGGCUCAUUAAAUCAGUUAUGGUUCAUUUGAUCGUACAGUUUACUUGGAUAACUGUGGUAAUUCUAGAGCUAAUACAUGCGAGAAGCGCCGACCUCGCGGGAGGCGUGCAUUUAUCAGACCAAAAACCGGCCGCGUCUUCGGGCGCGUUCGCCUUGGUGACUCUGGAUAACUUUGCGGAUCGCACGGUCUAGCACCGGCGACGGAUCAUUCAAGUGUCUGCCC